rnacentral:rRNA from 1 species
GACGAACCGUGCGACCGUUAUUCGGAAUCACUGGGCUUAAAGCGCGUGUAGGCGGGCCGGCACGUCCGUGGCUGAAAGCCCCCGGCUCAACCGGGGAACGGGCCCGGAUACGACCGGCCUGGAGGGGGGUAGGGGGAGCCGGAACUUCCGGUGGAGCGGUGAAAUGCGUAGAUAUCAGGAGGAACACCGGUGGCGAAGGCGCACAUCUGGCCCGAUACUGACGCUGAGGCGCGAAAGCUAGGGGAGCAAACGGG